GCGCCAGACUCCUACGGGAGGCAGCAGUGGGGAAUAUUGCACAAUGGGGGAAACCCUGAUGCAGCAACGCCGCGUGAGUGAAGAAGUAUUUCGGUAUGUAAAGCUCUAUCAGCAGGGAAGAAGAAAGACGGUACCUGACUAAGAAGCCCCGGCUAACUACGUGCCAGCAGCCGCGGUAAUACGUAGGGGGCAAGCGUUAUCCGGAUUUACUGGGUGUAAAGGGAGCGUAGACGGCGGCGCAAGUCUGGAGUGAAAGCCCGGGGCCCAACCCCGGGACUGCUCUGGAAACUGCGGCGCUGGAGUACGGGAGGGGCAGGCGGAAUUCCUGGUGUAGCGGUGAAAUGCGUAGAUAUUAGGAGGAACACCAGUUGCGAAGGCGGCUCUCUGGACUGUAACUGACACUGAGGCACGAAAGCGUGGGGAGCAAACAGGAUUAGAUACCCGGGUAUA
rnacentral:rRNA from 1 species